UCGCGUCUGUCGUGAANUCCUCUGGCUUAACUGGGGGCUUGCGGUGGGUACGGGCCGGCUNGAGUGCGGUAGGGGAGACUGGAACUCCUGGUGUAGCGGUGGAAUGCGCAGAUAUCAGGAAGAACACCGGUGGCGAAGGCGGGUCUCUGGGCCGUUACUGACGCUGAGGAGCGAAAGCGUGGGGAGCGAACAGGAUUAGAUACCCUGGUAGUCCACGCCGUAAACGUUGGGCACUAGGUGUGGGGGGCCUUUUCCGGGUCUUCCGCGCCGUAGCUAACGCAUUAAGUGCCCCGCCUGGGGAGUACGGCCGCAAGGCUAAAACUCAAAGGAAUUGACGGGAGCCCGCACAAGCGGCGGAGCAUGCGGAUUAAUUCGAUGCAACGCGAAGAACCUUACCAAGGCUUGACAUGUGCCGGUCGGCUCCGGAGACGGGGUUUCCUCCUUGUGGGCCGGUUCACAGGUGGUGCAUGGUUGUCGUCAGCUCGUGUCGUGAGAUGUUGGGUUAAGUCCCGCAACGAGCGCAACCCUUGUCCCGUGUUGCCAGCACGUUGUGGUGGGGACUCGCGGGAGACUGCCGGGGUCAACUCGGAGGAAGGUGGGGAUGACGUCAAAUCAUCAUGCCCCUUAUGUCUUGGGCUUCACGCAUGCUACAAUGGCCGGUACAGAGAGCUGCGACACCGUGAGGUGGAGCGAAUCCCUUAAAGCCGGUCUCAGUUCGGAUCGGUGUCUGCAACUCGACACCGUGAAGUUGGAGUCGCUAGUAAUCGCAGAUCAGCAACGCUGCGGUGAAUACGUUCUCGGGCCUUGUACACACCGCCCGUCACGUCAUGAAAGUCGGCAAC
rnacentral:rRNA from 1 species